GUAAGUAUAAGUAUUGUACAGCGAAACUGCGAAUGGCUCAUUACAUCAGUUAUAGUUUAUUUGAUAUUUGAAAGUUACAUGGAUAACCGUGGCAAUUCUACAGCUAAUACAUGCUUCAAAACCUGACUUCGGAAGGGUUGUAUUUAUUAGAUAUUAAACCAUCCCCUCGGGGCUGUGAUGAAUCAUAAUAACUGAUCGAAUCGAGGUUCGCCUUGAUAAAUCAUUCAAGUUUCUGCCCUAUCAGCUGUAGAUGGUAGUGUAUUGGACUACCAUGGCUAUUACGGGUAACGGAGAAUUAGGGUUCGAUUCCGGAGAGGGAGCCUGAGAAACGGCUACCACAUCUACGGAUGGCAGCAGGCGCGAAAAUUGCCCAAUCCCGAUUCGGGGAGGCAGUGACAAGAAAUAACAACCCAGAACAUGUUUCCGGGAUUGCAAUGAGAACAAUUUAAAAACCUUAUCGAGUACCAACUGGAGGCAAGUUCUGGUGCCAGCAGCCGCGGUAAUUCCAGCU
rnacentral:rRNA from 1 species